CGUGCACCAGUGGGGUCCCUCAGCCUGGCCUGUGCCCUCUUGCAAUCUGGGACCCCUCAGGAGAGCCAGUUUUGGCCUGAUCCCGCAGGCCAGGCUGAGGGACCUCACUGAUGCACG
rfam:Myotis lucifugus cont2.69873, whole genome shotgun sequence.